AUGGGGCUGAUGGCGCUGAAUCGGCUCAUCUCCAGGCAGCGGGAGCAGAAGCAGAAGCGAAAUCGUGGCCGUAUCGAAGCCAAUAAUGGAUGGAUUGCUUCAUCAUUAGCUAAAAGAAACAGAUCACCCUGCCGACAGGAUAUUAAUUCUCAUGGUGGCAAAAAAGUAAGAUAUCCAGGGCCAGAUCUUCCAGAGGACAUCUGGCGUCAUAUACAUUUCCUACUGCCAAUGCAAGAUGCUGCCCGUGCUGCCCGUAUCUCUCAGUCCUUUCGAAGCUCCUGGAAAUGCUAUCCCAAUCUUACCUUCACUAAUGAAACAAUGUGCUCCAAAGAAGAUUUGUGUAAGAGAACACGGGCUCUAAUGUUAUAA
rnacentral:rRNA from 1 species